rnacentral:rRNA from 1 species
UACGGAGGGGGCUAGCGUUGUUCGGAAUUACUGGGCGUAAAGAGCACGUAGGCGGCUAUUCAAGUCAGGCGUGAAAGCCCUGGGCUUAACCUGGGAACUGCGUUUGAUACUGGAUGGCUUGAGGUCGGGAGAGGGUAGUGGAAUUCCCAGUGUAGAGGUGAAAUUCGUAGAUAUUGGGAAGAACACCGGUGGCGAAGGCGGCUACCUGGACCGAUACUGACGCUGAGGUGCGAAAGCGUGGGGAGCAAACAGG